rnacentral:rRNA from 1 species
UCUGAGAGGAAGGUCCCCCACAUUGGAACUGAGACACGGUCCAAACUCCUACGGGAGGCAGCAGUGAGGAAUAUUGGUCAAUGGACGAGAGUCUGAACCAGCCAAGUAGCGUGCAGGAUGACGGCCCUAUGGGUUGUAAACUGCUUUUAUAAGGGAAUAAAGUGAGUCUCGUGAGACUUUUUGCAUGUACCUUAUGAAUAAGGACCGGCUAAUUCCGUGCCAGCAGCCGCGGUAAUACGGAAGGUCCGGGCGUUAUCCGGAUUUAUUGGGUUUAAAGGGAGCGUAGGCCGGAGAUUAAGCGUGUUGUGAAAUGUAGACGCUCAACGUCUGCACUGCAGCGCGAACUGGUUUCCUUGAGUACGCACAAAGUGGGCGGAAUUCGUGGUGUAGCGGUGAAAUGCUUAGAUAUCACGAAGAACUCCGAUUGCGAAGGCAGCUCACUGGAGCGCAACUGACGCUGAAGCUCGAAAGUGCGGGUAUCGAACAGGAUUAGAUACCCUGGUAGUCCGCACGGUAAACGAUGGAUGCCCGCUGUUGGUCUGAAUAGGUCAGCGGCCAAGCGAAAGCAUUAAGCAUCCCACCUGGGGAGUACGCCGGCAACGGUGCAACUCAAAUGAAUUGACGG